rnacentral:rRNA from 1 species
GGUUGACGGUAGCUGGAUAAGAAGCGCCGGCUAACUACGUGCCAGCAGCCGCGGUAAUACGUAGGGCGCGAGCGUUGUCCGGAAUUAUUGGGCGUAAAGAGCUCGUAGGCGGCUGGUCGCGUCUGUCGUGAAAUCCUCUGGCUUAACUGGGGGCUUGCGGUGGGUACGGGCCGGCUUGAGUGCGGUAGGGGAGACUGGAACUCCUGGUGUAGCGGUGGAAUGCGCAGAUAUCAGGAAGAACACCGGUGGCGAAGGCGUCGACGCGGCCG